rnacentral:rRNA from 1 species
CAAUUCUGGUUGAUCCUGCCAGAGGGCACCGCUAUUGGGAUACGCUUAAGCCAUGCGAGUCGAGAGGUGCAAGACCUCGGCUGACGGCUCAGUAACACGCGGAUAAUCUGCCCUCGAGCGGGGGAUAAUCUCGGGAAACUGAGAAUAAUACCCCAUAGGCCCGGGAAGCUGGAAUGCUCCCAGGCUGAAAUUUCCGGAGCUCGAGGAUGAGUCUGCGGCCUAUCAGGCUGUAGUGGGUGUAACGGACCCACUAACCUUCGACGGGUACGGGCCUUGAGAGAGGUUGCCCGGAGAUGGAUUCUGAGACACGAAUCCAGGUCCUACGGGGCGCAGCAGGCGCGAAAACUUCGCAAUGUGGGAAACCACGACGAGGGAAUCCCAAGUGCCAACGAUUUUUCGUUGGCUGUUGCCCUGUCUAAAAAACAGGGAGAGUAAGGGCUGGGUAAGACGGGUGCCAGCCGCCGCGGUAAUACCCGCGGCCCGAGUGGUGCUCGUUAUUAUUGGGUUUAAAACGUCCGUAGCCGGGCCGGUAAAUUCUUGGGUAAAUCGACUGGCCCAACCAGUCGAAUUCCGGGGAGACUGCCGGCCUUGGGACCGGGGGAGGUCGGAGGUACUUCCAGGGUAGGGGUGAAAUCCUGUAAUCCUGGGAGGACCACCAGUGGCGAAGGCGUCCGACCAGAACGGCUCCGACGGUAAGGGACGAAGCCCUGGGGCGCAAACGGGAUUAGAUACCCCGGUAGUCCAGGGUGUAAACGCUGCAGGCUUGGUGUCGGGGGUCCUAUGAGGGCGCUCGGUGCCGGAGUGAAAAUGUUAAGCCUGCUACCUGGGGAGUACGGUCGCAAGACUGAAACUUAAAGGAAUUGGCGGGGGAGCACCGCAACGGGUGGAGCGUGCGGUUUAAUUGGAUUCAACGCCGUAAAACUCACCGGGGGCGACGGUUAUAUGAAGGCCAAGCUGAUGACUUUGCCCAAUUUUCCGAGAGGUGGUGCAUGGCCGUCGUCAGUUCGUACCGUAAGGCGUUCUGUUAAGUCAGAUAACGAACAAGACCCCUACCGCCAAUUGCCACGCUGUCCUCCGGGACAGCAGCACAUUGUUGGGACCGCUGGUGCUAAACCAGAGGAAGGAGGGGGCAACGAUAGGUCAGUAUGCCCCGAAUCCCCCGGGCUACACGCGCGCUACAAAGGCCAGGACAAUGGGCUCCUACCCCGAGAGGGGAAGGCAAUCCCGAAACCUGGUCAUAGUUCGGAUUGAGGGCUGUAACUCGCCCUCAUGAAGCUGGAAUCCGUAGUAAUCGCGGAUCAACAUUCCGCGGUGAAUAUGCCCCUGCUCCUUGCACACACCGCCCGUCAAACCAUCUGAGUUGGGUCUGAGUGAGGGUGUCCUUCCUGGGGUGCUCGAACUUAGGUUCAGCAAGGAGGGUUAAGUCGUAACAAGGUAUCCGUAGGGGAACCUGCGGAUGGAUCACCUCCUA